rnacentral:rRNA from 1 species
UACGGGGGGGGCUAGCGUUGCUCGGAAUUAUUGGGCGUAAAGGGCGCGUAGGCGGCCUGCUAAGUUGGUUGUGAAAGCCCCCGGCUCAACCGGGGAACUGCGACCAAAACUGGCGGGCUUGAGUGCAGGAGGGGAGAGCGGAAUUCCCAGUGUAGCGGUGAUAUGCGUAGAUAUUGGGAGGAACACCUGUGGCGAAGGCGGCUCUCUGGACUGCAACUGACGCUGAGGCGCGAAAGCUAGGGGAGCAAACAGGAUUAGAUACCCGCGUA